GACGAACCGUGCGAACGUUAUUCGGAAUCACUGGGCUUAAAGCGCGUGUAGGCGGAUGGGUACGUCGGUCGUUGAAAGCCCCCGGCUCAACCGGGGAAUGGGCGCCGAAACGACCCGUCUGGAGGGACGUAGGGGGACCUGGAACUUCCGGUGGAGCGGUGAAAUGCGUUGAGAUCGGAAGGAACGCCCGUGGCGAAAGCGAGGUCCUGGACGUCUACUGACGCUGAGACGCGAAAGCUAGGGGAGCGAACGGG
rnacentral:rRNA from 1 species